UGGGGAAUUUUGGACAAUGGGGGAAACCCUGAUCCAGCCAUCCCGCGUGUGCGAUGAAGGCCUUCGGGUUGUAAAGCACUUUUGGCAGGAAAGAAACGUCAUGGGUUAAUACCCCGUGAAACUGACGGUACCUGCAGAAUAAGCACCGGCUAACUACGUGCCAGCAGCCGCGGUAAUACGUAGGGUGCAAGCGUUAAUCGGAAUUACUGGGCGUAAAGCGUGCGCAGGCGGUUCGGAAAGAAAGAUGUGAAAUCCCAGAGCUCAACUUUGGAACUGCAUUUUUAACUACCGGGCUAGAGUGUGUCAGAGGGAGGUGGUAUUCCGCGUGUAGCAGUGAAAUGCGUAGAUAUGCGGAGGAACACCGAUGGCGAAGGCAGCCUCCUGGGAUAACACUGACGCUCAUGCACGAAAGCGUGGGGAGCAAACAGG
rnacentral:rRNA from 1 species